GGUCUUAUAUUCAUUUAUGAUAUAAAAUUGCAAAUUUUAAGGUGUAAAAAUUACUAAGGCUU
rnacentral:tRNA from 1 species